UAGGCCAAAUUUCAUUUCAGGCGACUUUUUUGUUGCGACGAAAACAUAUUCGUCGCACAAUUUGCGACUUUUUUAAACAACAUCGUCGCAAAUAAAUGUAAAUAAUAAAUUUAUAUAAAUUUUUGCGACGAAUACUAAUAUCGUCGCCAACAAAUGUCGCACAUUUAAACACUAAAAUUUUCCACUAAUUAUUGCGACGAAAAUAAAAAAAUUUUCGCUACAUUGCGACGAUAAUAGAAGAAUACGUCGCAAUACAAAAUAAAAAUUAAAUUGUUUUUUAAUAAAGUCAUAUUGCGACGUUAUUUCAUAACCGUCGCAAAUUGAAUGGGGCUGUUGCGACGUUCCAGUUGCGACAUUUUAUAUUUCGUCGCAAGAUUGCGACGUAAUUACCUUAAGUGUCGCAAUGAAAAAAUAAAGAAUAUAUUAGCCAUUUUUAUUGCGACGAAAAUAGUAAAAACGUCGCAAUUCUAAAUCUAAAAUUUUCGACGUUUUCUCGAAUGCGUCGCAAUAUUAUUAUCCGCAUUUUUUUGAAAUACAUUUGGAUGUGACGUAUUUAAAAUAAAAGUCGCAAUUUAGUUGAAGCUUGCAACGUUUUUAUUUUAAAGUCGCAAAUUAAUUAGUAAAAAUAUUUAUGCCCUAAUUUUCUCUCCAUCUCCUUUAUCCCUCUCACUCUCUCGCUACUUCUCUCUCACAACCCUCUGACAAAGCCUCUGCACAACCCUACGCCGCCCUUCGUCGACGCCACCACAGCCCUUCGCCGACGCCACCACAGCCCUUCGCCGACGCACCAGGAGCCCACACCGAAGUUUUCUUCCUCGGUCUUCUCACCGCGAGUACACCGCCAAGGCCACCUCCACCAUCGCACCUACGCCGACGCCACCACUGCACUUCUCGACGCUAGCCUACACCAAAUUCUUGAAACUUGAAACCCGUUAAUCAAUCGCUUUAUUGUUCGCUGCCGCAGACCACUCGUUCACCGUUGCAUUUGCUCUUUACCUUGUUGAAGAUGUUGAAACUUCUUAGUCAAAACUGCCAAGCAAAGAAAGAAGUGGAGAUUGAUCUGCUGAGUGAUGCUUGUGAUGAAGUGCAAAAGAAGAUUGAGAAUGAGUCCGAGCAGCAUAAUCCUUCCGUCACCUGCAAAUAGUUUUAAUGAAGAUGAAGGAGAAAAUGAGGAUUAAUUUAUCUUUAUAAAGAUACAACAUUAGCAAUUUGUAUAUUUUAAAUUCAUGUUUGGAUGAUUUUACCUAAAUGUGAAUUUUAAAGCAGUGGAUAUAAAUUUUGAGUUGUUUAAUGAUUUUAUUGGUAUUA